GUCCUUACAGAUGCAUAAGUCAGUUGUCAGGCUUUGUCUGCUUCAAUGGUUUCAAAGACAACCAUCGGAUAUACACAUAUUGAUAUAGCUAUUUUCGUACUUUCAGUUGUUCGAAAAGUUGCAGAAUGCAUUUACAUUUGUAAUGACGUCUGCUGCUCUGUCCUAGACUCAGCUUGGUUUUUUCAGGGGUUCUAAUUGGAGGAAGAAUUCAACAGAAUAUGGUCAUGUUUUGUGCAUAAGCCGGUGGCGUGGCGUCAGCUUUGUUCUUGUAUACCACAUACGGCUACCUGCAACAGCUGAAGAAGAACCACCUUCGCACCGUAACCGCUUCUACGGCCUGUUCCUGGCAAUGCUGAAAACACUGCCGCGAGUUCCGCCGAGAAAAUGAGGAGCCUGAAUCUGCACGCAGCUCUCAUAUUCCUGACGCUGGUAUCAAGCGAGUUAACCAAAGUGUCAGCAAUCCGCUGUUACGAUUGCAGCGACUCCAAUCCACACUGCAGGGACCCGUUCCCGCAUAAAAAGGACUACAGUGUCUUAACGAGGGACUGCGCUCACGGAUGCAUUAAACAAACACGACACGAAAAAACAACACAACAUAUCGAGCGAGGGUGCGCAGACGAAGAUAGAGACCAAUGCUUUUGGGACGAACCUAAGUCAGGUGAAAACCUCCACGUGUGUUAUUGCACAACGACCCUGUGCAACACUGGAACGAGGCCAAGGUCAAGGUCGACAUAUAGCCUUGUUUGGACAGCAGCUUCUGUCUUGGUUGCAAGACUUUUUAUAUAAACAUGAAUAGCUAAUAUUACCCGAAUAUAUUUUUCAAGAAUAUGCUUAAAAAAUGUGAGCACAUUGGAUUUUUUUUAACUCUUUCGUCAAUAAUUUAAGUAAAUGAUGGCAAUGACUGUUGUAUUGUAAUGACAAACACAGGUUCACGUAUUUCAAUACGAUUUUUUCACAGGAUUGCUUUGAAAUAAAUAUCAUUGGAUUCCAAAGAUAGAUCAUCGGUGUAUCUAACUGUCAAAAAAUGACUAUUUAAGCCGUUCGAAUGUGACUUCCAUAGAAACUUUCAAAAUAAAAUAUUAAUCUUUAAAUAUGCAUUUGCACACAAGUCAUCGAAAAAGUAGAAACCUGAAAAUGAAUUAUUAUAAUGCUAUUUAGGUUCUUAACAUUACAGUCUUUUUUUCACAUCAAGGAAACUAUUUUUAUCAUUGUACGUGUCCUUGAUUUCGUUCCACAGAGUAAAAACGAGACGUUUCCUUUUUAUCACCCUUUAAAAAUGGACAAUCUAUCCGUUUGUAAGUAAUGUAGGCUUACUUCCCAUUUUCAUCGUCAUUAGUGAAAUUCACCAGUUUCUAUCUGCUUUACGAGACCCGAUGAGUAGAACCUUGAAAAACAAGCAUAUGGAUAGUAAUUCUGUGAACGGUUUUUGAUUAUGAUAAACUUUAGUGAUUAUUGAAAUAGUGUU